GGAUGUGAGGGCAAUCUGGCUGUGAGGCUGUGUCAUCUGUCACCCCAUUGAUCACCAGGGUUGAUUCCACUAAUCUGGCUGUAGAGGCAGGUGUCCCCUUCUCCCUCACUGCUCCAUGUGUGUCCCUCCUGAAGCUGCGCGACCUGGUUGAAAAGGACCCCUUUCCCUGAAUAGAGGCCGUUCUUCAGUCCAAGGUGUAAGAGUAGCUGUGCUCCCCUGCUAGAACUUCUAAACAAGCUCUCAAGAAACUCCUCACUAUGAUGGUCAGCCAGUGGCACCAGACAAGUUUGGCCUGGUAGUGAAUUGGUAGGAGCC
rnacentral:snRNA from 1 species